GGUAGAUGACACACAUUGUGGAUCUGCUAAGAAGUUCCUGCAGGGAAGAAGGGGUGUGCAGAGAAAGGAUGGAAGAGACAGGAGGCUCUGGAGUAUGAAAUUGUAGCAAAAAACUCAAUCAACUAGUACAGGUUAGUCUUCAUUCCCCUUUCUGGAACAGGCUGCUCCUUCUAGGAUGUAAUGGAGAUCAAAGCUUGGACCCUGUAACUAGACUGCCUGCCUGGGUUUGAGUCCCAGCUCUUCUAAUUACUUGUGUGACCUUGGGCAAGUUAUGUAACCUCUAAGUGCCUCAGUUUUCUCAUCUGUAAAAUGGGAACUUCAAUCAUCAUGGCUAUCAUUUGGUUGUGGAUGAGAAGUAAAUGAAGUGCUGAGUGUUAACUGUUGCCUCAGAAGAAACUGGGAGGGGGAAGUCUUAGAAGUGUUUCAACAUAAUAAAAGCUCUCUCAUUCUGAAAUGUGGGCAAAUUUCAGGGAUUGAUAGAUCCUAGCAAACUGUGUCCCUGGUUCCCGUGCUUGAGAUCUUAUACAGGACUUGAACCAGGUAAGCUGCUACAGGAUAUUGGGCAGAAUGCAGGACCAGGAAGCAAGAAAACUGAGUCUGCCACAGACAAACCAAGUGAUCUUGAGCAGGCAACUUCUCCUUUGGGGACCUCAGUUUCCUCAUAUCUAAAAUAAGGGUGACCUGGAUAAACAUUCAGGUCACUUCCAGCCUUGACAUUCUAUGACUACCUAUAUCUCAGGGUGUUUAGGGCACAUGCCUUUGGGUAGAUAGCAUGUGGAAAUUGUUACUAUUCCCCAUGCUCCUGUCCACACUACUCACCAAAUAUGAGAUAUCCGGGAAGAAUGGAGGGUAUAGAUUUUUUUUUUCAAUUAGAUAAUUUAGUUUUAUAUAUUUGGGGGGACAAGUGCAGGUUUCUUACAUGCAUAUAUUGCAUGCAUAGAGGUGAAGUCUGGGCUUUUUUUAGUGUGCGCAUCGCCCAAAUAGUGAACAUCAUACCCAAUAGGUAGUUUUUCAACCCUCACCCUCCUCCCACCUUCUCACCUUUCAUAGUCUCCGAUGUCUUUUAUUCCACUCUAUAUGUCCAUGUAUACCCAUUAUUUAGCUCCCACUUAUAAAUGAGAAUAUGCCAUAUUUGACUUUGUUUCUGAGUUAUUUCACCGAGG
rnacentral:lncRNA from 1 species